rnacentral:rRNA from 1 species
AUUGAACGCUGGCGGCAUGCCUUACACAUGCAAGUCGAACGGCAGCACGGGAGCAAUCCUGGUGGCGAGUGGCGAACGGGUGAGUAAUAUAUCGGAACGUGCCCAGUCGUGGGGGAUAACGCAGCGAAAGCUGUGCUAAUACCGCAUACGAUCUCUGGAUGAAAGCGGGGGACCGUAAGGCCUCGCGCGAUUGGAGCGGCCGAUAUCAGAUUAGCUAGUUGGUGGGGUAAAGGCCCACCAAGGCGACGAUCUGUAGCUGGUCUGAGAGGACGACCAGCCACACUGGAACUGAGACACGGUCCAGACUCCUACGGGAGGCGGCAGUGGGGAAUUUUGGACAAUGGGCGCAAGCCUGAUCCAGCAAUGCCGCGUGCAGGAUGAAGGCCUUCGGGUUGUAAACUGCUUUUGUACGGAACGAAACGGCGAGCUCUAAUAAUGUUUGCUAAUGACGGUACCGUAAGAAUAAGCACCGGCUAACUACGUGCCAGCCGCCGCCGUAA